rnacentral:rRNA from 1 species
CCUACGGGUGGCAGCAGUGAGGAAUAUUGGUCAAUGGACGAGAGUCUGAACCAGCCAAGUAGCGUGAAGGAUGACUGCCCUAUUGGUUGUAAACUUCUUUUAUAUGGGAAUAAAAUGUUCCACGUGUGGGAUUUUGUAUGUACCUUAUGAAUAAGGAUCGGCUAACUCCGUGCCAGCAGCCGCGGUAAUACGGAGGAUCCGAGCGUUAUCCGGAUUUAUUGGGUUUAAAGGGAGCGUAGGUGGGUUGUUAAGUCAGUUGUGAAAGUUUGCGGCUCAACCGUAAAAUUGCAAUUGAUACUGGCAGUCUUGAGUACAGUAGAGGUGGGCGGAAUUCGUGGUGUAGCGGUGAAAUGCUUAGAUAUCACGAAGAACUCCGAUUGCGAAGGCAGUUCACUGGACUGUAACUGACACUGAUGCUCGAAAGUGUGGGUAUCAAACAGGAUUAGAUACCCUUGUAGUC